rnacentral:rRNA from 1 species
AGUGAACGCUGGCGGCGUGCUUAAUACAUGCAAGUCGAAGGAAGUGGCGCACGGGUGAGUAAUAUAUAGCUAAUCUGCCCUUUGCUGGUGGACAACAGUUAGAAAUGACUGCUAAUACACCAUAGUAAGGGAUGAGAGUAUAUCGUAUCAGCUAGUCGGUGGGGUAACGGCCUACCGAGGUUAUGACGCGUUACUGGUUUGCGAGGGUGAUCAGUCACGUUGGAACUGAGACACGGUCCAAGCUCCUACGGGAGGCGGCAAUAGGGCGUAAUGCGCAAUGGGCGAAACCCUGACGCAGCAACGCGGCGUGGGGGAUGACACUUUUCGGAGCGUAGACUCCGUUUGUUAAGGAAGCGGUACCUAACGAAUAAGCACCGGCUAACUCCGUGCCAGCAGCCGCGGUAAUUC